GAUAAACGCUGGCGGCGUGCCUAAUACAUGCAAGUCGAGCGAACGGACGAGAAGCUUGCUUCUCUGAUGUUAGCGGCGGACGGGUGAGUAACACGUGGAUAACCUACCUAUAAGACUGGGAUAACUUCGGGAAACCGGAGCUAAUACCGGAUAAUAUUUUGAACCGCAUGGUUCAAAAGUGAAAGACGGUCUUGCUGUCACUUAUAGAUGGAUCCGCGCUGCAUUAGCUAGUUGGUAAGGUAACGGCUUACCAAGGCAACGAUGCAUAGCCGACCUGAGAGGGUGAUCGGCCACACUGGAACUGAGACACGGUCCAGACUCCUACGGGAGGCAGCAGUAGGGAAUCUUCCGCAAUGGGCGAAAGCCUGACGGAGCAACGCCGCGUGAGUGAUGAAGGUCUUCGGAUCGUAAAACUCUGUUAUUAGGGAAGAACAUAUGUGUAAGUAACUGUGCACAUCUUGACGGUACCUAAUCAGAAAGCCACGGCUAACUACGUGCCAGCAGCCGCGGUAAUACGUAGGUGGCAAGCGUUAUCCGGAAUUAUUGGGCGUAAAGCGCGCGUAGGCGGUUUUUUAAGUCUGAUGUGAAAGCCCACGGCUCAACCGUGGAGGGUCAUUGGAAACUGGAAAACUUGAGUGCAGAAGAGGAAAGUGGAAUUCCAUGUGUAGCGGUGAAAUGCGCAGAGAUAUGGAGGAACACCAGUGGCGAAGGCGACUUUCUGGUCUGUAACUGACGCUGAUGUGCGAAAGCGUGGGGAUCAAACAGGAUUAGAUACCCUGGUAGUCCACGCCGUAAACGAUGAGUGCUAAGUGUUAGGGGGUUUCCGCCCCUUAGUGCUGCAGCUAACGCAUUAAGCACUCCGCCUGGGGAGUACGACCGCAAGGUUGAAACUCAAAGGAAUUGACGGGGACCCGCACAAGCGGUGGAGCAUGUGGUUUAAUUCGAAGCAACGCGAAGAACCUUACCAAAUCUUGACAUCCUUUGACAACUCUAGAGAUAGAGCCUUCCCCUUCGGGGGACAAAGUGACAGGUGGUGCAUGGUUGUCGUCAGCUCGUGUCGUGAGAUGUUGGGUUAAGUCCCGCAACGAGCGCAACCCUUAAGCUUAGUUGCCAUCAUUAAGUUGGGCACUCUAAGUUGACUGCCGGUGACAAACCGGAGGAAGGUGGGGAUGACGUCAAAUCAUCAUGCCCCUUAUGAUUUGGGCUACACACGUGCUACAAUGGACAAUACAAAGGGCAGCGAAACCGCGAGGUCAAGCAAAUCCCAUAAAGUUGUUCUCAGUUCGGAUUGUAGUCUGCAACUCGACUACAUGAAGCUGGAAUCGCUAGUAAUCGUAGAUCAGCAUGCUACGGUGAAUACGUAUCGCGGGUC
rnacentral:rRNA from 1 species